UACGUAGGGGGCGAGCGUUGUCCGGAGUUACUGGGCGUAAAACGCACGCAGGCGGUCUGCUAAGUUUGGAGUGACAGUUGGUGGCUUAACUGCCAAAGUGCUUCGAAAACUGACAGACUUGAGGGCUUCAGAGGGACACGGAAUUCCGGGUGGAGUGGUGAAAUGCGUAGAGAUCCGGAAGAACACCAGUGGCGAAGGCGGCCCGCUGGGCAGUGGCUGACGCUGAGGCGCGACAGCGUGGGGAGCAAACAGG
rnacentral:rRNA from 1 species